rnacentral:misc_RNA from 1 species
GAUGAAGAACGUAGCGAAAUGCGAUAAGUAAUGUGAAUUGCAGAAUUCAGUGAAUCAUCGAAUCUUUGAACGCACAUUGCGCCCGCCAGCAUUCUGGCGGGCAUGCCUGUUCGAGCGUCAUUUCAACCCUCGAGCCCCCCCGGGGGCCUCGGUGUUGGGGGACGGCACACCAGCCGCCCCCGAAAUGCAGUGGCGACCCCGCCGCAGCCUCCCCUGCGUAGUAGCACACACCUCGCACCGGAGCGCGGAGGCGGUCACGCCGUAAAACGCCCAACUUUCUUAGAGUUGACCUCGAAUCAGGUAGGAAUACCCGCUGAACUUAAGCAUAUCAAUAAGCGGAGGA